GACCGCGACCCCAGGUCAGGCGGGACUAC
rnacentral:rRNA from 1 species